UACGGAGGGUGCAAGCGUUAUCCGGAUUCACUGGGUUUAAAGGGUGCGUAGGUGGGAAUGUAAGUCAGUGGUGAAAUCUCCGUGCUUAACACGGAAACUGCCAUUGAUACUAUGUUUCUUGAAUUAUCUGAAGGUCAGCGGAAUAUGUCAUGUAGCGGUGAAAUGCUUAGAUAUGACAUAGAACACCAAUUGCGAAGGCAGCUGGCUACAGGUGGAUUGACACUGAGGCACGAAAGCGUGGGGAUCAAACAGG
rnacentral:rRNA from 1 species